rnacentral:rRNA from 1 species
ACCGUCAKYYGUAGSCWGKGKKAKKGACSRCCGKUUCGUUCCUGCUGRAAGAGCUUUACRACCSGAAGGCCUUCUUCACUCACGCGGAAUGGCUGGAUCAGGGUUGCCCCCAUUGUCCAAAAUUCCCCACUGCUGCCUCCCGKAGGAGUCUGGACCGUGUCUCAGUUCCAGKGUGGCUGGUCGUCCUCUCAGACCAGCUACGGAUCGUCGCCUUGGUGAGCCUUUACCUCACCAACUAGCUAAUCCGACAUCGGCCGSUCCUAUCGCGCGAGGUCUUGCGAUCCCCCGCUUUCACCCUCAGGUCGUAUGCGGUAUUAGCUAACCUUUCGGUUAGUUAUCCCCCACGACAGGGUACGUUCCGAUGUAUUACUCACCCGUUCGCCGCUCGCCGCCAGGGUUGCCCCCGCGCUGCCGSUCGACUUGCAUGUGUAAAGCAUUCCGCCAGCGUUCAAUCUGAGCCAGGAUCAAACUCUAAUCACUAGUGAAUUCGCGGCCGCCUGCAGGUCGACCAUAUGGGAGAGCUCCCAACGCGUUGGAUGCAUAGCUUGAGUAUUCUAUAGUGUCACCUAAAUAGCUUGGCGUAAUCA